AUACGUAGGGGGCGAGCGUUAUCCGGAAUUAUUGGGCGUAAAGCGCGCGCAGGCGGCCGGUUAAGUCAGGUGUGAAAGGCUGCGGCUCAACCGCAGAGCGGCACCUGAAACUGGUCGGCUUGAGUGCAGGAGAGGGGAGCGGAAUUCCCGGUGUAGCGGUGGAAUGCGUAGAGAUCGGGAGGAACACCAGUGGCGAAGGCGGCUCUCUGGCCUGUAACUGACGCUGAGGCGCGAAAGCGUGGGGAGCAAACAGGAUUAGAUACCCUGGUAGUCCACGCCGUAAACGAUGAGUGCUAGGUGUUGGGGGGCUACGCCCCUCAGUGCCGAAGGUAACCCAUUAAGCACUCCGCCUGGGGAGUACGGCCGCAAGGCUGAA
rnacentral:rRNA from 1 species